CAGUAGCCACGGUAAUACGUAGGUGGCAAGCGUUGUCCGGAAUUAUUGGGCGUAAAGCGCGCGCAGGCGGAUCAGUCAGUCUGUCUUAAAAGUUCGGGGCUUAACCCCGUGAUGGGAUGGAAACUGCUGAUCUAGAGUAUCGGAGAGGAAAGUGGAAUUCCUAGUGUAGCGGUGAAAUGCGUAGAUAUUAGGAAGAACACCAGUGGCGAAGGCGACUUUCUGGACGAAAACUGACGCUGAGGCGCGAAAGCCAGGGGAGCGAACGGGAUUAGAUACCCCCGUAGUCCCUGUCUCUUAUACA
rnacentral:rRNA from 1 species